GACGAACCACACGAACGUUAUUCGGAAUUACUGGGCUUAAAGGGUGCGUAGGCGGCGCGGAAAGUAGGGUGUGAAAUCCCUCGGCUCAACCGAGGAACUGCGCCCUAAACUACCGUGCUCGAGGGAGGUAGAGGUGAGCGGAACUUAGGGUGGAGCGGUGAAAUGCGUUGAUAUCCUAAGGAACACCGGUGGCGAAAGCGGCUCACUGGACCUCUUCUGACGCUGAGGCACGAAAGCUAGGGUAGCGAACGGGAUUAGAAACCCCCGUAGUCC
rnacentral:rRNA from 1 species